GGCGGCGGGGACUGAAGGCUCAGGGCUGAGAGCAGCGGUAAUUCGGGGGAGCGCUGGCCACCCUUCAGGGGGCUCCCAGGGCUGGCCGGGGCAGGCUGUGCUCAGCCGAGGCACCCGCGGGCGUGGGGCAGACCGGCGAAACCGUCACAUCAGGAAGAAAGGCAGAAGGAGGUGUUCUCUGUAAAUGCAGCCGAGUGGUAAGGAGAAAGUGGAAGAUGUUAGAGGGAUAAUCGACCAGCCAUUUCUUCCUAUUUUUUUUUGCUUCAUCGGUGAAGAGUACAACCUAGCACAGCCUACAAGGAUGGGAAAAGCAGGAAGCUCUCUGUUGCCUUCCUCCAUUACCUUCCAGUUCCUCGUAAUACUAAAAGUAGUAUGAUUUUUGAUGGUGUUGCUUAGUGGUAAUUGUCAUACACUGUAACCUGACACAAUUGCCAGUGAAAGGUAUUUCACUGGCACCAACGACGUUGGUGACCUUGGCUGUUCCUAAGGCAGGAGGCUGACUACUUCCUUCACCUACCAUGUGGUGCAGCUCCAGUUUUGCAGGAAAACUGCCUGAUCUUGCUGCAACAGGUCAUAGAUUUGUACCUUCCACUAACCAGGGCAGUGCUUACAUACCUUAGGACUCCCAAACGCUCAACCUUUCUCAAACUUUACUAGUUUGAAAUCCCUGAAUUUCAGUGAUAAAGAUAAUUUUCACCAACAAAAAGAGCCACAGAGUAUAAAAGUUGUGUCGUGGUGCAUGAGCCAUCUGUGUUAACUGUUUUAGUUGCUCAGUGCAUGCAAAGAGGGUUAAACACGUCUGUCACGGGUCCUUCUACACGCAGAACAGUGGGAACCUAUCCUACAGACUGUGCUGGAUGUCUGGCUUUUCCUUUUUAUAUAUUGUAUGGUGGAUUUGUUACAUUCCAUGAAGAAAGCAAGAUUUUGUGAAUUUUAUUCAAGAACUUUUAUUAAAUUGAAAUGUGAACACCA